UUAAUUGCCCGAGGCCAUGGCAUGUGGGAAAAAGUCUGACAAUUAGUGUGGAGUUUUGGCUUUUUUAAGUAUUGAAGGGGGCUGAAGGGUUUCAAAGUUCUGGGUUGAGAGUGUUUAAUAUUGAGUAAAAAAUGUAUACCUAGUGAGGACACAGUGACAAAAAGGCAUCAUAUAUAAAAUAAGCAUGACACGCAGGGGUAAUAGUCAUAUAAUAUAAUAAAAAAAUGGUAGUAAGCAUAAAUUUCUCAAGAACUGCAGUGAGUUAAAAAGGUACUCUUGGGAUAAUUUGAAAAUUCAACCAGUUUUUUCACAGACUAUAUCCUACCAUCUUCUGAGAAAUGUAGUUAAAGAAAGCAGAAGCUAUACACUAAAAUUCCAUUAUAGUUGGUCUUCUCAGCACCAGCUUUAGUAUAGUGACUCUUCAAGAGGGAGAAUAUAGAUCAGUUUAAUCAUGGAGCCACUUUUUGGGGGCACUAACUCUAUUUUGAGGUUCUAAAGAAUAUACUUGGGAAGUUUUAAUGCAUCGACAAGAAUGUAUGGUAAUGAUGCUGAAAUAUGCUUCUGUGCCACAGGAUAAUGGAGUCAGCACCCUGUGAGAAUCUGGAGAAGCUGUGUGUGCUCUCUCUAGAAUAGACACAUUUGCACUAUCACACAUCACACUUCCAUGCACACACUGUUUUGCACAUGAUUUCAGGGGGACCUGGAGCAUUUCUUUCUCCUGAUGUCCCACGUCUCAUGUGGUCCCUCUGUUACCCUGGAAGGAUGAAGGACUGAGAGGUGCUGGCAUGCUUGUGCAGGAAGAACUCGGCUGGAGACAGUCUUCGAGAUUAAAAAUUGCACCUAAUAUCAAGAAGCCUGCUCAGGCAGAAUAUCAAUCCAUCCUUGACCUGACUGGCUGCCGAGGGUCAUGGUUUUCUGAAACUGUUGUGGAGAUGGCAGGGGGAUUACUAGUUGAGAUAUAGAAUUCAUUUUCUUCUCUACACUAUCCAGGAUUUAUGCCCUAGUGAAAGAGGAAUCCAAGGGAGGUAAAAUGUAAAAAGGAGAUUCAAUGAUAUUUUUGUUGUCACCCUUUGAAGCAAAGAAGAAUUUUUAAAAAAUCGAAUGGUUCUCCAACUUGGUGACACAUUGGGAUAAGCUUGUUUAAAAAUGAAGAUUCCAAGACCCUGACCCUGGCAAUCUGCUUCAUAAGGUUUGGGGCAGGGCCCAGGAAUCUGUGUUUUUAUAAGCUGGAUUUAGAAACUAAUCCUUUAUUGAACUCUUAAAAAUAUGUGGAAACAUGUAUCCUCUUCCCAUCAGAAGUCCUCCUUAGAACUUUGCCUUCUAGCAGUAUGGUAAGCUAGCUAGUCCAAAAACCUUUUUACAUGCUGAAAAAAAUCCAAAGGACCUUUUUUUAAGUGUCUAACUGAACUUUGAGAUAGUGGAGAGAAAUUCUAGGGAUUAACAGUGAAGAGGGGGCUGAAGCCAGAAUGGUGAGCAGGCCAGCGAGCUGCUGGCCUGGGGGUUGUGCUGGGCUUCCCGGGGUCUGCUGCUGGCAGGGAAGACUGGCCUUGGGCUCACUCACACAUACUGUUUGAGAUGCUCUUGUAAAUUUGGUGGCUGUAGUAAAAUGUUUCCUUCCCUGCAGGGAGACAAUAGGGACCUUUGUCUCUCUUGACUUUUUUCCUGUGUGUGAUGCGUUUGUGGAAGUCUCCCAUAGGUUCGAGAUUGAAUUUAUUGUGCUGGUAGGGUGUUAUAGUUUGUACAAGAGGGUGUCCCCCUGAAAGUUCCCGUGUCAAUGCAGGAAUAUUCCGAGAUGAAAUAAUUGGAUUUGAGAUCUGUAAAAGAAUCAGUUCAUCCUAGUUUGAAUGGACUAACUGAAUGGUAACUGUGGGCAGGUGGGCUGUGGCUGGAGAAGGUGGGGUGUAUCCUGGAAGGGGGCAUCUUCUGCGUGUUCCCUUUCCCUUUUCUCCCUCUGCUUCCUGACUGCCUUGAGCAGAGCAGCUCUCCUCCACUGCUCUCUUCCGCCAUGACUGCUGCCCACUUCAGGCUCAGAGCAGUGGAGUCUACUGGCCAUGGGCUGAGACCUCUGAAGCUGUUGAGCCCAAAAUUGAAGUUUUCUUCCUCUAGGUGGUUCUUGUCAGAUACUUUGGUCACAGCAACAAAAAGCUGACUUAAAACAUUUGGUUUAGUAACCCCAAACUGAGAAUUUAACUAGAAGUGAGUGAUAGUGACCUGGGACUCCUGGUAGAAACAAACACCAACUCCCUGGAUGAUGGAAAUUCACGUGCCCAGGAUUCUCAAGAUUGACCAGAAAUGAGCUCACAAUCCAAAAUUUAAAAAUGCACAGAUGAACCAGCAUAAGUGAGAAUCAGGUGGAUUAGCAAACAGCAGAAUUAGUAUGAGUAAGUCUUCAGAAAUUUGGGUUAUCAGGUAAAGAUUAUAUAUAGUGGCAUCUGAUAAUGUUUAAAACUGUUGGAGAAAUAAAAGGUGAGAUUGAAAAUGUAAGCAGGAAUUAUGAGAACUACUAAGAUUAUCAGGCAGAUUUUAAGAAAAAUCAAAUAGAAUCUCUAAAAUUUUUAAUUUUUGAAAUAAAAAAAAUCAGUGGAAUGAUUUUAACUGGAAGAUUAGACAAAUUGAAAGAUGAUAAAUCUGAGAAAGUUGCCCAGCAUUUAACAAAGAGAUGGAUAUUAGGAAAGCAGUUUAUUGAAUAAUAGAAUGAGAUGAGUAAUGUGUAAUUGGAGUUCCAGCAAAAGAUAGAGAAUUGGGAAAGGAAUAAUUGCUAAGACUUUUCUAGAACUAAUGAAAGAAUUCUCCGAUUUUAGGAAACACAGUACAUCUCAAACAUGGUUAAUAAGGAGUAAUAUAUUAAAAAAACAAAGAGAAUAUCCUAGAAGCAGCCAGAAAGAUCCAAAAGCACAAUAGGGUUAGGGUUAGGGUUAGGGCAAGAAUGUCUGUUCAAAUUCUGACUUUAUAACUUAUAAGCUAUGUGACUUCUAUGGACCUCAGUUUUCUCCUUUGUAAAAUGGGGAUAAUAAUAUUACCUAUUUUCUAGGAUUGUUAGAUUUUAAUGUGUUAAUAUAUGUAGAGUUCUUAAAAUAGUGCCUGGAAUAUAGCGAACCCAAUGUAAGUGUCAACGGCUGUUAUUAUUACUGCUGCAAAGGAGUAGGAGACCACUGAUAGCAGGCUUGUGAACUGCCCUAGUGGAAACUUCAAGACAGUAAAUUACUUCUAAGUGUUGAGAGAAAAAUGUCAAAUUUAGAAUCGUGUGCCCAUCUAAAUCAUCAUUUGAGAACGAAGAAAUUUUUAGAUAAAACCCAAAGUUUGCUACCAAAAGAAAUCAAUAAAGCAACUUCUGAACAUCUUCAGGUUGAACAUCUCUAACCUGAAGAUCCCAAAUCUGAAAUGCUCCAAAAUCUGAAACUUGUUGAGCUUGAACGCGAAGCUGCAAGUAGAAAAUUCCAUACCUGAUUUCACGCAGUGGGUCACAGUCAAAACUCCUGCAUACUACAAAUAAUGAAUUAAAUUAUCUUCAACUGCUGUGUGUGAGGUAUACCUGAAACAUAAGUGGAUUUCAUGUUUAGGCUUGGGUCCCAUCCCCAAGACAUUCAUUAUGAUGUAUGUGUUUACAUUCUAAAAUCUGAAAAUGUCCUGGUCCCAAGUAUUUCAGAUAAGGGAUUCUCAACCUAUAUAUGUGUUUGGGGGCAGGGGGUAGAGGUUAUCCCAAAUCAGCAUCUAAAAUGCAGAAGAAAAUGGAGAAGAAAUAAAUUGUUAGAUAUGGAAUAAAUCUAAACAAAUGUUGACAACACAGAGAAAUCAGGCCAAAACAGGGCAGAUAAAAGGAACAACAGAAGCAAGAAAUAGCACAAAAUAUCCCAGUGAAAUAAUUGAAGAUCUCAGUAAUCAUGGUAAGCUUAGAUGAAGAUGCACUGACAGAGCAGAUACAGGAAACCAAGUCCAGCUGGAUGCUGCUUAUAAGAAAUACAUCCUAGAACAAAGAGGUAGAAAGGUUGGGAUUAAUAGAAUGGGAAAUGCCAAUCAAAGGGAACCAGUAAGUGAGCAGUAUCCAACAACUAUUGAAAUGGUAUUAGAAAAAGGAAAUACUGUUAACUACAGGAAGCAGGAAGCUUUGCAAACUACAGUUCAUGGGCCAAUUCUAGCCUGCUGUCUCUGUUUGCAUAUGCAGCUUUUUUUGGGAACUAUAGCUACCCCCCUCUCUCUCUCUCUCUCUCUGGCAAGGUCUUUGUGCAGACAUCAGAGUUGAGUAGUGCAGCAGAGAUUGUCUGACCCGCAGAGCCUAAAAUGUUUACUAACUGGCCCCUUUUAGAAAACGAAUGCUAAUUUCUGAACUAGAUCUGCAUACACACACCCCAGCAGCCAAUGGCAGAACUACGCUGAGUCUCACAGAAAUAAUGUCAAGUUAAAAAAAAAAAAAUGCAAGUGGCAGACUUAUACCAGUUAUAAAAGGUUUGGAAACACAUAAAAAUACUGUAAAUUCCUCGUUGGGAUAUGUAUGUGCAUUGUGAAGCUCUAUAAAGUAAAGCAGGAGAGUGGGAGACACCGAAGUGAGGGUUGUUGGGAGGUUGAGGCAGGAGACUGGUUAUUCACUAUUGAGCUACUCAAAAUUGAAGGCCAACUCAAGAAACGAGAAACAUUCCCUAAAAAAAAACCCAUCCAUCGGCCACUGGCUCUCUUAACUAUCUUAACUGUAGCAUGCACUUAAAAAAAUAUAGUAAAAUAUGAUCAUUUUUCUUCUCAGCACGUUUUUUUGGGUAGUGGGGGUGGGGUACUAGGAAUUGAACCCAGGGAUACUCCACCACAAAGCUAUAUCCCUAGUCCAUUUUUAUUUUUUGUUCUGAAACAGGGUCUUGCUUAGGGCCUCACUGACUUGCUAAGGCUGGUUUUGAACUUGCAGUCCUCCUGCCUCAGCCUCCCGAGUUGCUGGGAUGACAGGCCAGCGCCAGAGAAGCACUUUUGGAUGAUGCAAGGCAGGCACGUGAGCCCUGGAGGAAAGGGAGCCUUCUCCAGUGCUUCCCCGAGGGGUUUGUUUUGUAGCUGGAUGGUGGGGACCGGUGUUCUUAUUGCCUUUGUACCUUUCUUUCUGUCUUACAAAUAGCUUGAUGUGUUCUCCAAGAGUGGUCCUUUAUUUAGGCAGAGGGCCUUGGCGAUCCUGUAGCCAUAAGGAAAAGUAGCUUCAAAAGGACUUCAGGGAGGGACGUACCGCAUGCUAAUCGUCACGUUUUCAGAUAGGAAAGAAAUGGCUGCGAUAGGAGAGAACCUGGCACCUGGCGAGGGUCCUGGGUCACGGAGUAUAGUCUCCUGCUCAAAGAAGAAACUCCUUUGCCCACAGCCCUGGUUAGUGGCCAUCUGGGACCUGCGAGUUUGUCAUGUGAUCACGAGGCUGCCAGCUUCGUUCGUGUGGCCGAGUUGAGUGGUUCUGAGUCCCCUUUUGUGUAUGUCACGGUUGGUUAAAUGUGAAGAUGCCAGCCACGCGUCAUCAGUGUGACCCUUUGACUUCAUGACUGUGGCACUUCAGCUUGGCAUUCAGUCUAGAUUGUCCCUGUCCCCUGGAAAGCCAGCCCUUUGGUCCUGACCGCAGGGAGUCGGUGGUCUGACUGGUUCAGAGUGGAGGGAGGCAUCGCCUCUGCCCCAGUGAGCAUGAGCAUCCCCCUCCUGUUAGAAAGCCCCGGAGGUCAGCCCUGGGUGGGUUCCUGUCAAGGUUGUGGUCAGCUAAAUCCUGACUCCGCUUCCUGAAUUGAGAAGGUAUCUUUGAGAGAAAGAAAAACAGAGAAGAAAACAUAAAAAGCUUUAUGAUUUCCCACAUGUCAAAAAACAUGCAUUUGGCUGGGAGGGAGCAGCAGGGCUUCCUCCAGUGUGUCAGGCGUUGGCCAGCGCCUGGAAGAAGCCCGCCGUGCUCCGUGUGUUUACAGCCAGGUGUUGCAGAGGUCAGGUCGGGAAGGGGAGGGGGUAGCUGAUGGAUCAGGCUGGGUUUUAUAGAAAAAUUUUCUAGUUUAAUGAGUUGAUUCUUAACUUUGAGAAACAUCUUUUUUAGUUUCCUAGGGUUUUUUUUUUCCUCCCCUUGAUACUGGGGAUUGAACCCAGUGGUGCUUUUUAUUGUUUAUUUUGGGACAAAGUCUUGCUAAGUUGCUAGGGCUUCUCUAAGUUUCUGAGGCUGGCCUUGAACUUGUGAUCCUCCUGCCUCAGCCUCCUAAGCUGCUGGGGUUAUAGGUGUGUGUCACCAUGCCCAGUUUAACAAAUAUUUUUGACUACCAUCUGUGUUCUGGUUACUUACUGAAAAACAGCAAGGUAGGCACACCUAAGGUGGCAGUUUUCACCCUUUUGCCCUCAGUAUUUUUUUUAUACACUAGUAAGUCUUAAAGAUCCCAGAGGUUUUGUUCAUAUAGAUUAUAUUGAUGACUGUAUUUAGAAAUUAAAGCAGAAAUUUAAACAGUGUGGACAUAUUAAUUUAUUUAAAAGAAUAAUGUUAAGUCUGUGACCUCUUAAACAUAAAUGGUUUACUUUUUAUGAAACAUGACUGCUUUCCAACAACUGUGGGUGAACGUCAUGGUCUUGCACAUUGCUUUGGUGUUUGGAUUAACCGGAGGGAUCUGGGCUCUGGGUUGAUUCUGCAUUCAGUCUGUUUUACGCGGACCUCCCCGGGCCUGGGAAGCUCCGCGGUGUGCUGAGAGUGAAGCAGGCAGACGACAUCUGUGUUAGAUUCAUGUUGCUCUGGUAACAAGUUACCACAAAUUGAGUGACUUAAAUCAACAAAAAUGUAUUGGCCUUAAAUUCCGGGCGGGUCUCCCUGGCUGAAGUCAAGGUCCUGGCAGGGCGACCUUCCCUUCUGGGAGAAGGCUUCCUUGCCCUUUUCAGCUUCCAGAGGCUCCAGUGUUCUCCGCAGCCCCUCUCAUUGUCAAAGCCAGCAGGGGCUGGAGUCUUCCUCAGUCUCCUCUCCCCCGUGGGGCCAGCAGUAUUUACUCAUGGAACUCCAGUGGUGGUCAUUGAAGCGAUGACCAAGAAGUCCCCAGUGGUGGCAUGGGGAGGCGCUGGCAUUUGUCCCUUUCCUGCUUCCUGCGCCCUCCAGCGAGACAUUCUCCAAAGGUUGCCACGAGCCUGCUCUUCAGAUGGGGCUCAGUUUUCUUUCUCUAAGAACAUUUUCUGUUGAAGCUAAAUAAAGGUUCCUUUCUUUUGAA